rnacentral:rRNA from 1 species
GCCUGCGUGAAGUUGGAAUCGCUAGUAAUCGCGGAUCAGCAUGCCGCGGUGAAUACGUUCCCGGGCCUUGUACACACCGCCCGUCACACCAUGAGAGUCGGAAAUGCCCGAAGUCUGUGACCCAACCUUAGGGAGGGAGCAGCCGAAGGCAGGUCGGAUGACUGGGGUGAAGUCGUAACAAGGUAUC